rnacentral:rRNA from 1 species
UACGAAGGGGGCUAGCGUUGUUCGGAAUUACUGGGCGUAAAGCGCACGUAGGCGGAUUUGUAAGUCAGGGGUGAAAUCCCGGGGCUCAACCUUGGAACUGCCUUUGAUACUGCAAGUCUCGAGUCCGAUAGAGGUGAGUGGAAUUCCUAGUGUAGAGGUGAAAUUCGUAGAUAUUCGGAAGAACACCAGUGGCGAAGGCGACACACUGGCCCGUUACUGACGCUGAGGCGCGAAAGCGUGGGGAGCAAACAGG